GGAGAGGUUUCCGAGUUGGUCUAAGGAGCACGAUUGGAAAUCGUGUGUGCUCAAAAGGCACCAAGAGUUCGAAUCUCUUCCUCUCCGCCA
rnacentral:tRNA from 2 species